UAUAAUAAAGAAAAUGGGGCAUUUUCAACGGUGGCCUCGGUUUUUUACUUAACUACCCUCGCUUAGAUUCCGAUCACAGCUAUGCAAUAGAGGGUAGUAAAGUAACUUGAUCUUCCUUUUCUCUGCAUCUCAACUCUCUUCUUCGUGAACGCAGGCGCCCUCUUCACCUCCUCCACGAAUUCUGAAACACCCCCACCAUGAAAGAGACACAGCGGCUAUGACAACUCUGAGACCUAGCACCAUAUUUCAAUCUAGGUUAGUCAAUUUUGAAUCAAACUAUAAUCUGAUUCUUAUUUAAUUUUGGGAAUUUCAAUCACUCAUUUUUUACCUAACUUUUUAGUUUCGCCUUCGCAAUUUCAAACGUUUUUAAAAUUGGACCUUACAGAAAUUUGUGAACUUCAAUUUCCCUUUGGGUUUUUGGCUCAGACUAUACAUCUUUCGAUAAUUUGUGAACAAUGGUUUGGAGAACAGCUUCAAGCUACAUAAAUGCUUCGGUUGAAGAUCAGCUUUUCUUGACAGUUUGAAUUCCAGAAUUGGGGUUUUUAACCCCCUGAAUCAGGAGGACUCAUUCAGGGAACUUCUGUCUUUCGUACCACAAUGAGAGGCUGUUAAACGUCAAGUCUGUGCUUCAAGACUGUAGCAUAUAUUGUCAGGUACAAAUUCAGAUGUCAUGGGUGAUGGUAACUUCUCUGGAUUUCUUUUUGGUUUGUCAUGUGAAAAUGCAGAGGAGGCGGGACAUAACCUAUUUCUCUAACAUUGUUAAUUUUUUAUCGACUGGGACAGGGGUUCAUACUGUGUAAGCAUUUUGUUGUUGUUUUUGGGUGUAGUAACAUUCUUGGUUUACUGGCAUGGUAAGUAUCAAUAUAGUAAAUAACUACAUUUUCUUGAGCAUGUUUGAAUUUCGGACCUGCUUCUUAUAUUCAGGAAACUCAUCCACUAGCAUAGAGUUAUAUGAAUAAGAGAAGUGUGGCCAAGAAUUGGAUUUAGAGUGCUUUUCUUAAUUAGUCUCAUAUGAGCUUAUCAAGUCUUGCUGUACAAAGCAUUGCAUUCGUUAUUAUAAGUUUAGGAGCCAUGUACAAAACUGUUUUAACAGUACAAUGUUUUAAUUCCAAGAAGCAACUAAUCAUAACGACAAGUUGGCAGGUCAUCACUUGAUGUAGUACUGCGCUUCUCAUGCUGGGAAACAACACAUGCUCCAUUUUUAUCCAUUGGACCUUCAUUUAGUGCAAGGGAGUAAUUUAAUGUCUUGAAACUGAAAUUAGUCACAUGUACUGCAACACAUUAUUGUAAAUGGUAUUCUGAAUUUAAGUUACACAGUACUAACUACUAAGCUACUUAAUAUUUUGUCGAAUCUGUUGGAAACUACCAAUAGUUGGUGGUA